AUUCCAGCUCCAAUAGCGUAUAUUAAAGUUGUUGCAGUUAAAAAGCUCGUAGUUGAAUUUCUGUACAGUCCCGGUUCUGGCUUCGGUCAAGCCGUGGAUUGUGCAUCCGCUUGCAAAUCUAGCUCGGCCUUCACUGGUCGACUAGGGGAGUAAGCCCUUUACUUUGAAAAAAUUAGAGUGUUUCAGGCAGGCAAUGGCUCGAAUACAUUAGCAUGGAAUAAUGGAAUAGGACUUUUGUCCAUUUGGUUGGUUAUUGGACAUGAGUAAUGAUUAAAAGGGACAGUUGGGGGCAUUAGUAUUUAAUAGUCAGAGGUGAAAUUCUUGGAUUUAUUAAAGACUAACUUAUGCGUAAGCAUUUACCAAGGAUGUUUUCAUCG
rnacentral:rRNA from 1 species